UAGUUAGUUGUAAGGAUAGAUGAAGAUUUAAAAUGAAUUGGCAUAUAUUAAAGUAAUGUUAUUGAACUAAAAAUAAACAAGCUUAAAUGGUAAAAGUUGUUAACAUUAUAGAAUAGGUUAAAUCCAGUACUUUUUGCAUCAUGGUCUAUAGAGAGAAAUAAGUUUGGUCUUUCCCCGAAAGUUCCGGAUUUAUCUCGACUAAGAAAAGAAAUCUUCUUUGAGUGUAUUGUUGCAUUACUGGGAGUGAAAGUUGAGAUGGAGCGAAAGGCGUUUCGAAGGGGCUGAUAGCUGGUUAGGGAGGAAAUGCAUCUGAGUGCAGGUAGGUCUAUUGGUCUGGCGGGCAAAAUGUGCCUUUGCUUUACCUUGGCCUUACUGAUAAAGUGGGGUUUUAGCUCUGCUUUUGUAAGGGUUAGUAAGUUUAUUGUUUUAAAGUAGGAUUCAAAUUGUCUAUCUUUAAGAGCUUUGUUCAAAGGCUUUAUUAAUGGAAUGUUGGUUAGGUACUCCCUCAUAGCCUAAAAUGUAUUGGCUUAAAUUAGUAUAGAAUUAGUAAUAAGCUUAAGAGCAAGCACUCAAAUACGCAUCUCUGCCCACACUCUUAUGGUUUGUUCGGGCAAAAAUGUCCGGAUGGCUCAGGUCAAUGGUUAAGCCAUUGGGUUGGAGGAUUACCACAGCUGUAGCUGAGUUAAUCGGCCUAAUUCAAACUAAGUCAACUUAGGUUGAGUUAGGGCUGUGGUAAUAGGCAUACUACUAGGCGAGGGCCUUUGGACAGGUUGGCAUGACGGGGGUACCCUCAACUGGCGCUUGCGGUGUAUAUAGACGCCAUAUGCAGGUGGUGCCUAAGGCCGGUUGCAUGGAGAUAUGCUUUAUUUUAAGAAGAUAUAGUUAGAUUUAACAGGCACCUUUCAUGAACUCGGCAAAUAAUUUUUGCACCUGUUUAUUAAAAACAUGGCUCCCUGCAAAUAUAAAGAAGAGGGGGUCGGACCUGCCCGGUGGAGAUUUUUCUAAACGGUUGCAGCUACCACUGUACUAAGGUAGCGCGAUAGGUUGUCCUUUAAUUGGGGGAAAGUAUGAAUGGUUUGAUGAUGGAAAGACUUUAUUAGAGGUGCUUUAUGAACUUUACUUUUCAGUGCAAAGGCUGAAAUUAUUUUAUUAGACGAGAAGACCCCAUCGAGCUUAGUUACCUUUGCUCUGGUAGAGUGAAGGGAAUGUUUUAUCGGGGCCGAUAAGAAGGGAAUUGAAUGCCUUCUAUAUUAAAUAACGAUCCGGCUCUGGCCGAAAAGAAGAAGAUAGUUACCGUGGGGAUAACAGCGCAAUACCUCUUAUAAGCCCUUAUUUAAGGGGGUGAUUGCGACCUCGAUGUUGAAUCAAGAUUUCUACUAGGUGCAGCAGCUUAGUUAGUGGGACUGUUCGUCCUUUGAAAUCUUACGUGAUUUGAGUUUAGACCGGCGUGAGCUAGGUCGGAUUCUAUCUGUAAGUGAGAAGCUCUUAGUACGAAAGGAUUGGGGUUUUUAGUUUGACUGACAUGUUAUGCUGCCUACGCCUUCAGUGCAGCGUAG
rnacentral:rRNA from 1 species